rnacentral:tRNA from 1 species
GGGAGUAGUUGGAGGGCUGGUGCCCCCCGUGGACUUCAAAUCCAUUGGGCGGCGAGUCCCGUCGUCGGUGGGUUCGAUUCCCACAUACUCCC